GAUGAACGCUGGCGGCGUGCCUAAUACAUGCAAGUCGAGCGAACAGACGAGGAGCUUGCUCCUCUGACGUUAGCGGCGGACGGGUGAGUAACACGUGGAUAACCUACCUAUAAGACUGGGAUAACUUCGGGAAACCGGAGCUAAUACCGGAUAAUAUAUUGAACCGCAUGGUUCAAUAGUGAAAGACGGUUUUGCUGUUACUUAUAGAUGGAUCCGCGCCGCAUUAGCUAGUUGGUAAGGUAACGGCUUACCAAGGCGACGAUGCGUAGCCGACCUGAGAGGGUGAUCGGCCACACUGGAACUGAGACACGGUCCAGACUCCUACGGGAGGCAGCAGUAGAGAAUCUUCCGCAAUGGGCGAAAGCCUGACGGAGCAACGCCGCGUGAGUGAUGAAAAUCUUCGGAUCGUAAAACUCUGUUAUUAGGGAAGAACAAGUGUGUAAGUAAGUAUGCACGUCUUGACGGUACCUAAUCAGAAAGCCACGGCUAACUACGUG
rnacentral:rRNA from 1 species